rnacentral:lncRNA from 1 species
CAACUGCCAGAUUAUAUCCAGGUGUAAUGAUAAGUCGUUAUCCUAAGGCUAUUUUUUUCUUAUUUUUUCUGUACACUUAGCUUUCAUUUUUUAUUACCAUGCAUUGUCAAGCUUGGUAACUCAUAAUUAUUUGUCAGUAACUAAAUGUACGAUGCUGUCCCAUACUGAACCUUCUGACCUUGUUUGUUUACAUUUUAAUUUC